GAACGCUGGCGGUAGGCCUAACACAUGCAAGUCGAACGGCAGCACAGAGGAGCUUGCUCCUUGGGUGGCGAGUGGCGGACGGGUGAGGAAUACAUCGGAAUCUACUUUUUCGUGGGGGAUAACGUAGGGAAACUUACGCUAAUACCGCAUACGACCUACGGGUGAAAGCAGGGGAUCUUCGGACCUUGCGCGAUUGAAUGAGCCGAUGUCGGAUUAGCUAGUUGGCGGGGUAAAGGCCCACCAAGGCGACGAUCCGUAGCUGGUCUGAGAGGAUGAUCAGCCACACUGGAACUGAGACACGGUCCAGACUCCUACGGGAGGCAGCAGUGGGGAAUAUUGGACAAUGGGCGCAAGCCUGAUCCAGCCAUACCGCGUGGGUGAAGAAGGCCUUCGGGUUGUAAAGCCCUUUUGUUGGGAAAGAAAUCCAGCCGGCUAAUACCUGGUUGGGAUGACGGUACCCAAAGAAUAAGCACCGGCUAACUUCGUGCCAGCAGCCGCGGUAAUACGAAGGGUGCAAGCGUUACUCGGAAUUACUGGGCGUAAAGCGUGCGUAGGUGGUUGUUUAAGUCUGUUGUGAAAGCCCUGGGCUCAACCUGGGAACUGCAGUGGAAACUGGACAACUAGAGUGUGGUAGAGGGUAGCGGAAUUCCCGGUGUAGCAGUGAAAUGCGUAGAGAUCGGGAGGAACAUCCAUGGCGAAGGCAGCUACCUGGACCAACACUGACACUGAGG
rnacentral:rRNA from 2 species